GAUGAACGCUGGCGGCGUGCCUAAUACAUGCAAGUCGAGCGAACAGAUAAGGAGCUUGCUCCUUUGACGUUAGCGGCGGACGGGUGAGUAACACGUGGGUAACCUACCUAUAAGACUGGAAUAACUCCGGGAAACCGGAGCUAAUGCCGGAUAACAUGUUGAACCGCAUGGUUCUACAGUGAAAGACGGCUUUGCUGUCACUUAUAGAUGGAUCCGCGCCGUAUUAGCUAGUUGGUGAGGUAACGGCUCACCAAGGCAACGAUACGUAGCCGACCUGAGAGGGUGAUCGGCCACACUGGAACUGAGACACGGUCCAGACUCCUACGGGAGGCAGCAGUAGGGAAUCUUCCGCAAUGGGCGAAAGCCUGACGGAGCAACGCCGCGUGAGUGAUGAAGGUCUUCGGAUCGUAAAACUCUGUUAUUAGGGAAGAACAAAUGCGUAAGUAACUGUGCGCGUCUUGACGGUACCUAAUCAGAAAGCCACGGCUAACUACGUG
rnacentral:rRNA from 1 species